rnacentral:ncRNA from 2 species
ACUAACGAACAGGGGUGCUGCAGUUGCGGCUGAGAAAUACCCUUUGAACUUGACCCGGUUAGUACCGGCGUAGGGAGUUUGUAGUAAGCACAU